AUACGGAGGGUGCAAGCGUUAUCCGGAAUCAUUGGGUUUAAAGGGUCCGCAGGCGGAUUAAUAAGUCAGUGGUGAAAUCCUCUCGCUCAACGAGAGAACUGCCAUUGAAACUGUUAGUCUUGAAUUCGGUCGAAGUAGGCGGAAUGUGUCAUGUAGCGGUGAAAUGCAUAGAUAUGACACAGAACACCGAUAGCGAAGGCAGCUUACUAGACCUGGAUUGACGCUCAUGGACGAAAGCGUGGGGAGCGAACAGGAUUAGAAACCCCGGUAGUCC
rnacentral:rRNA from 1 species